rnacentral:lncRNA from 1 species
CAAGUUUUUGUUUCACCAACAAUCCACCAAAAACCUCCACAAGGCAACAACUUUCCUCUAGCUAGAGCAAUAUCCAAAGGUCUUGAGGUUUGGGUAUGAAUUUUUGAGCAAGAUUAAGGCCAAAAGUUGAAGCUUUUUCUUCCUUCUUCUUGAGCUCCAAGUUCGGCCAAGAGAGAGAGAGAAUGAGGGAAGAUGAGGUUUUGAUUUGUGGUGUAAAGGUAAGAAGAAAAGCUAAUCUUUUGUUUGGUGAGAAAGUCAACUUUGAAUAGUGGUGUAAUAGUGCCCUGCACUACCAAUUUCCUUCUUGUUUGCUACACUUAAAUACUAAUUCUCCAAGGUAGUUCCUCUAACACUACAAAUACUCAUUCUUACUAGUUUAAAAUUAAUUCUCCAAAUCUCCGAUUAGUCGCGCCGGUGCGAAUUUUGAAAAAUUUUGAUGCGUAAACGAUAAAAAUAUAAUUUAAGUAAAAUUCAUGCUAAAAUAAUAAAAUGAAAUAACACCAAUGCAAAUAAUUUUAAAAUAGACUAAAUUAAAAAUAAAAAUAUGAAUCCUUACACAACCAUCAAGAUUAAAGUCAAGACAAUCAUUCUCUUCUCCGCCAUCAUAUCUAAUUCUUGUCUGACAACUCUUUAUCUGGAAUCACAGGUUCUUGCCAAUUCUCUUCAAUCACUUUGUCAUUCACUAGCCUUUUUCUAUUUUCUCCCAAAGCUAGUUCUUCUACUAUUGCCUUUUCUCAUUCAACUUUUUAGUUACCUUGAGCUAUGGCAGUGCUUAAUGCUUCAUCUUGUGAUGAAACUUGAGAUAGCUUUUGAGCUAAAAUUUGAGAUGGAAUUUGUUGAAUCACAUUAGGCCCUC